UAAUUAAUUGCGAACCGUGUCUCGGGAGCCUUAGAGAUGGAGACUGACGUGUUCCAAGGGAGAUUGCGGCUCCACUUUCACCCUGGUACUGAGCAGUUGAGCACAAAAUUGGUAACCAAUGCUGCGCUUCCAGCAAAUUUUCCCACCAGCACCCAAUCCUGGGAUAUUUAUUCUCUUUGUCUCACAUCCUACAGGAACGCAGUCGCGGGGUAUAUCCCCCUGAAAAGCGUACUUUGCCGAAUAAUGAUUUCUUUGGAUUAGAGAACUACAACUCCCCUGGGUCCUGAGCCGGUAUUUCCCUUUUGCGGCUGCACAGUAGUUAAAAACAAAGCUAAGUGUUCUGGGACGUAUAGUUCUAGCAUUCCUUGGGUCCCGCUGGCGAGCGUGGGCUUUCUGCAGAGCGCAACCGGCCUCGUGUGCUUUGUGGACGGUUCACCGCGCUUGGAAAGGGAUUGGCCUGGGGUACAUCAUCUAAAGAUCCUAGGAUUGCUGCAGGUCAGCAGUCUCCACUGGAAAAAAAGAUCUUGAAUCUAGGUGGUGUGCAUACAACAGCAGCAAGACAGUUGAUAAUUCAGAAAUAUCAGGAGGAGUGUGAAAUACUCUGUAGGGAGCAAGCUGUUUCUCUUGACUACUGGCUUGCCAAAGCAGAGUCUUAUUAUAAUAAAAUAAUAGUGGAAAUGAUGAAAGAAGAGACAGGCAAUGAAAUCAAGAAAAAAAUGGAGGAGAAAACAACCCAAAGCGUAGAAGGACUAAAACAGUACUAUUUGGUACCUGAGAGAGAGAUGAAACACAUAGAAAGGCACAUAUAUCAAACAGGAAAGGCUGGAGAAUUUAAGAACAAAUCAUUUAGACAAGUACUACGACCCCCCAAUGAAACAAAAUUACCAAAAAUUAUGCCAGAAGGGCAUGGCAUCCAGAACGCACAGAGAAGAAAGCAGGUAAAUGAGAGGGAACAGAUGCAGACUAAGGAUCACCAGGAACGCAUGAUUCGAGGGAGAGAACUUACAGAGCAAAGACUCAAGGAAAGAAUCUUGAGAAGAAGCCAGAGCCAGCUACUUACGUAUGAGAAGCAUGAGAGAGUAAAGAAAGGGAUAAAGGACUUUGAAAGAGUUAUUGCUUAUCCUCUUCUCCAACCAUGCAGUAGAAGUCGGAUUAAACAUGUAUUUCAAGUCCUUUGAUGAAUCAUGUGAUCUACUAGACCCUGAAGAUACAGUGAAGAGCAAAAGUAGGAUGCUGGCAAUUUGAUGUUUGCACUGUCAUGAAGGAGAUGCACAUUUAGCAGAACUUACAAAGAGAAAUAUAAAAUUACUGCUGAGCUAAGUGUGGUGAAGAAAAGUUCAUGGUACCAUGAAAGCAGAUAACCAGGUGAUCUAACAGGUCCACUACCACUAUCACUACCACUAUUCUCAAUAAUACCUAAAAGAAAUAAUAAGAUAUGGCAUUUAUAAAUGAUGAAUAGGAUUUUAUAAAAUUAUAUACAAUCAGAGAACCAAAAAACACUCUUGGAAAUCAAAAAGUGAUCAUUUAAAUAAGUAUUUCAAUAGAUGACUUGGAAGAGUAAAUUUGUACUACCACUAAAUAUUAAAAAUGGAAAAACAAUGUCAAGAAAGACAGAAGAACUAUACGAAUACUAGGCUAUCAGUCAAGGAUUUCCAGAAACUUAAUAAUACAAAUUCUAAAAGAAUGGAAAGAUAGAAAUUAUUUAAAAUAAAAAAAUUUCUCC
rnacentral:sRNA from 1 species